UACGUAGGCAGCGAGCGUUGUUCGGAGUUACUGGGCGUAAAGAGUGCGUAGGCGGUGCUCUAAGUUUGGUGUGAAAUCUCCCGGCUCAACUGGGAGGGUGCGCCGAAAACUGGAGUGCUCGAGUAUGGGAGAGGUAAGCGGAAUUCCUGGUGUAGCGGUGAAAUGCGUAGAUAUCAGGAGGAACACCGGUGGCGAAGGCGGGAUCCUGGGCCAGUACUGACGCUGAGGAGCGAAAGCGUGGGGAGCAAACAGG
rnacentral:rRNA from 1 species